GAAUGAACUGACUGUAAGUUGCUCUGGAUAAGAGCAUCUGCUAAAUGACGAAAA
rfam:Salmo salar isolate Sally breed double haploid chromosome ssa15, whole genome shotgun sequence.